AUUGAACGCUGGCGGCAUGCCUUACACAUGCAAGUCGAACGGUAACAGGCCGCAAGGUGCUGACGAGUGGCGAACGGGUGAGUAAUGCAUCGGAACGUGCCCCGUAGUGGGGGAUAGCCCGGCGAAAGCCGGAUUAAUACCGCAUACGACCUGAGGGUGAAAGGGGGGGAUCGCAAGACCUCUCGCUAUUGGAGCGGCCGAGGUCAGAUUAGCUAGUUGGUUGGGUAAAGGCCUACCAAGGAAACGAUCUGUAGUUUGUCUGAGAGGACGACCAGCCACACUGGGACUGAGACACGGCCCAGACUCCUACGGGAGGCAGCAGUGGGGAAUUUUGGACAAUGGGCGCAAGCCUGAUCCAGCAAUGCCGCGUGCAGGAAGAAGGCCUUCGGGUUGUAAACUGCUUUUGUCAGGGAAGAAAUCUUCUGGGUUAAUACCUCGGGAGGAUGACGGUACCUGAAGAAUAAGCACCGGCUAACUACGUGCCAGCCGCCGCGGUAAAAC
rnacentral:rRNA from 1 species